rnacentral:rRNA from 1 species
CCUAGGGAGGUAGAAGGGAGGAAGAGUGGUCAAGGGACGCAAGUCGGAACCAGGCAGGCCGAGUGCAGGAAGACGGCUCUAUGAGUUGUAAACUGCUUUUGUACGAGGGUAAACGCAGAUACGCGUAUCUGUCUGAAAGUAUCGUACGAAUAAGGAUCGGCUAACUCCGUGCCAGCAGCCGCGGUAAUAAGGAGGAUUCAAGCGUUAUCCGGAUUUAUUGGGUUUAAAGGGUGCGUAGGCGGUCGGAUAAGUUAGAGGUGAAAUCCCGAGGCUCAACUUCGGAAUUGCCUCUGAUACUGUUCGGCUAGAGAGUAGUUGCGGUAGGCGGAAUGUAUGGUGUAGCGGUGAAAUGCUUAGAGAUCAUACAGAACACCGAUUGCGAAGGCAGCUUACCAAGCUACUUCUGACGUUGAGGCACGAAAGCGUGGGGAGCAAACAGGAUUAGAUACCCUGGUAGUC